AGCACCAGCAUUUGUAUUCCAGGGCUUGGAGAAAAAAAUACACACUAAUCUCUUAAUGCAUUUUAUAUUUCCUGUCUCUGAGAUCUGAAGAAGUAAAAAAAAAAAAAGCAGAACCCUGAAAAAGUUUGGGUAAACUUUGGAAGCAGUUCAUGUAGGAGAAGAAACGAAGGCAGCCUGAUUCAUAUCAUUUGGGAAAUGUGUUAUGGAACUGUGAGGUUUCAAGAGCUUUUCAGCUUCUGUCUUCUCAGAGCUGUGGGCUUGUUACAAGUCUCAGCUAUAACAGCUUGUAACUCCAAAAAGGGCUUCUUAAAAGGACACUAAUUUCUCCUUCAUCUAAGUCCAGCUAAGCAGCAGCACGCUUCUGGAAAGGAGAACUACACAAAGAGCUUGUGAUGCCAUCACCUAACUGAAAUUGUACCUUGAUGCUCUUUCUGCCUAAAGAACAGGUAAAUUAAAGAACAAGUUCAAUCUUCA